AUAGAUGGACCUAUCUCAUCCAUACUUGUAUUGGUUCAUCUAAACAAAAGGUUAUUAAUAAACCAAUUAGCCUUAGGAUAUUGAGAUUUCAUUGGUCAAUGAAAGGGAUGAGAAAGAAUGGGAGUGAAGAUGAAGAGGUAGGGGAGAUGAGAGAAACACAAAUUGGUUAUGGGGAGAAUUUUAUCAAAUUAAAAUCAUUCAUUC
rnacentral:lncRNA from 1 species